UACGUAGGGGGCAAGCGUUGUCCGGAAUCAUUGGGCGUAAAGAGCGUGUAGGCGGCCCGAUAAGUCCGCUGUGAAAGUCCAGGGCUCAACCCCGGAAUGCCGGUGGAUACUGUCGGGCUCGAAUCCGGAAGAGGUGAGUGGAAUUCCUGGUGUAGCGGUGAAAUGCGCAGAUAUCAGGAGGAACACCAAUGGCGAAGGCAGCUCACUGGGACGGUAUUGACGCUGAGACGCGAAAGCGUGGGGAGCAAACAGG
rnacentral:rRNA from 1 species